GACGAACGCUGGCGGCGUGCUUAACACAUGCAAGUCGAACGGUGAAGCGCCUUCCUUUUUGGUGGGUGUGGAUGAGUGGCGAACGGGUGAGUAACACGUGAGUAACCUGCCCCCUUCUUCUGGAUAACCGCAUGAAAGUGUGGCUAAUACGGGAUAUUCUGGGUCUGUCGCAUGAUGGGUCUGGGAAAGAUAUUGUUUCGGUGGGGGAUGGGCUCGCGGCCUAUCAGCUUGUUGGUGGGGUGAUGGCCUACCAAGGCGGUGACGGGUAGCCGGCCUGAGAGGGUGGACGGUCACACUGGGACUGAGACACGGCCCAGACUCCUACGGGAGGCAGCAGUGGGGAAUAUUGCACAAUGGGCGCAAGCCUGAUGCAGCGACGCCGCGUGAGGGAUGGAGGACUGCGGGUUGUGAACCUCUUUCGCCAGUGAAGCAGGCCUGCCUCGUUUGUGGGUGGGUUGACGGUAGCUGGAUAAGAAGCGCCGGCUAACUACGUG
rnacentral:rRNA from 1 species